rnacentral:rRNA from 1 species
CACGUAGGGCGCAAGCGUUGUCCGGAAUUAUUGGGCGUAAAGAGCUUGUAGGCGGUUUGUCGCGUCUGCCGUGAAAAUUCGAGGCUCAACCUCGAACUUGCGGUGGGUACGGGCAGACUAGAGUGUGGUAGGGGAGACUGGAAUUCCUGGUGUAGGCGGUGAAAUGCGCAGAUAUCAGGAGGAACACCAAUGGCGAAGGCAGCACUCUGGGACGGUACUGACGCUGAGACGCGAAAGCGUGGGAGCAAACAGG